AACCCCUGGGGAGGGGUGGUGAUGUGUCAGCUAUGAGCCAGCCUCUUGGCCAUGCACUGGGAAUGUGCCAGGAGCUUGGAUCUCUUCACUGAAUUCCAGGCUAAACAAUCUGCCUACCCGAUGUUUCCAUUUGGAUCUCUGAAAGGUACCUCAAACUUAGAACUGUUUAUUGUUACCUCAAGCCUGUUUUUCGCAUUUUCCCACUCUCAUCUGCAAUCCAUCACCAAAUCCUGUCAACUUCAUACUCAGUAA
rnacentral:lncRNA from 13 species